rnacentral:tRNA from 1 species
GUCCGGGUGGUGGAAUAGGUAGACACGCUACUUUGAGGGGGUAGUGGCCGUUCGGCUGUGUGAGUUCGAAUCUCAUCUCGGACA